GGCUAAGCGCUAGCCCGGCCUGUGGCGAGUCUGCAGAGCUCGCCCGGAAGUAGCGUUGCGCGCGCAGAGGAUGGGCGCUGAGCAGCACACAGCCCGCGGCGGGGUCUCAGGAUCCGCGGCGCUGCCCGGGGCCGGGGGAAGGAAGCCAGCCGAGGAGACGCACGUGCCCUGAGUCCGGGAGCGGGGAGCCUCUUCAUCUCUCCAUCCUCCCUCCGCGCGCGCCCUCAGCCGUCCUCGUCCGCUCACCAUGCACCUCCCCUCCAAGAAAGGGCCACAUGCGUGCCAGGGACGCGAGCCCCGGCCACAGGGACAUAGCAGCCUAGAAGGUAUACCAGGAACACUUAAUCAACAUCCUGCAUGGUUCCAGCAAAGACAUUAAGACAGUUGGGACUGUUGGUGAGGACAGAUGAUCUUCACAAACCCUCUGACUCUUAAGAACCUGGGAGACCUGCUGGAGUUUACCCCACAUUCCCUUAAUUAAAAAGCCAUUAAAAUAGUCAACUUUGCUGGGCA
ensembl:lncRNA CTTN-DT CTTN divergent transcript